rnacentral:rRNA from 1 species
AAGCAUAUCAAUAAGCGGAGGAAAAGAAACCAACAGGGAUUGCCCUAGUAACGGCGAGUGAAGCGGCAACAGCUCAAAUUUGAAAUCUGGCGUCUUCGGCGUCCGAGUUGUAAUUUGCAGAGGGCGCUUUGGCAUUGGCAGCGGUCCAAGUUCCUUGGAACAGGACGUCACAGAGGGUGAGAAUCCCGUACGUGGUCGCUAGCCUUUACCGUGUAAAGCCCCUUCGACGAGUCGAGUUGUUUGGGAAUGCAGCUCUAAAUGGGAGGUAAAUUUCUUCUAAAGCUAAAUACUGGCCAGAGACCGAUAGCGCACAAGUAGAGUGAUCGAAAGAUGAAAAGCACUUUGGAAAGAGAGUUAAAAAGCACGUGAAAUUGUUGAAAGGGAAGCGCUUGCAGCCAGACUUGCCUGUAGUUGCUCAUCCGGGUUUCUACCCGGUGCACUCUUCUAUAGGCAGGCCAGCAUCAGUUUGGGCGGUUGGAUAAAGGUCUCUGUCAUGUACCUCCUUUCGGGGAGAUCUUAUAGGGGAGACGACAUGCAACCAGCCUGGACUGAGGUCCGCGCAUCUGCUAGGAUGCUGGCGUAAUGGCUGUAAGCGGCCCGUCUUGAAACACGGACCAAGGAGUCUAACAUCUAUGCGAGUGUUUGGGUGUCAAGCCCGAACGCGUAAUGAAAGUGAACGGAGGUGGGAACCUUUCGGGGUGCACCAUCGACCGAUCCUGAUGUCUUCGGAUGGAUUUGAGUAAGAGCAUAGCUGUUGGGACCCGAAAGAUGGUGAACUAUGCUUGAAUAGGGUGAAGCCAGAGGAAACUCUGGUGGAGGCUCGCAGCGGUUCUGACGUGCAAAUCGAUCGUCAAAUUUGGGCAUAGGGGCGAAAGACUAAUCGAACUAUCUAGAGCUGGGUCUCAGAGAUCUCCCCC